CAGGGAGUAAAGGACAAUGUCCCCACAAAAGGAGGUGUCCCUUCGGGCCAACUCCAGUUUUCUCCACAGGGAGUAAAGGACAAUAUCCCCACAAAAGGAGUUGUCCCUCCUCCAGACCAACUCCAGUUUACCAAAGUGUCUCCAGACUCAGUGAAGUUACGAUGGCCUCCACCACAGGGCGCUCCUGGUCCACACAGGUACACAGUUA